rnacentral:ncRNA from 1 species
GCUGGCGACGGCGACCCGGGAGAAGCCCUGGGCCGCUGGCUGGCGGAUUGCAAUGUCACCACGCGCGGGGAUAAAUCCUCUGCAGACGACUGAAGUGACCAAGCGGGUCAUGUACGCGUACGAGUAGCCUAGUUGUUACGAGUCGCUGAGUGUCAGCCCGACCUUGGCUCGAUUUGU